AUUCCAGCUCCAAUAGCGUAUAUUAAAGUUGUUGUGGUUAAAAAGCUCGUAGUUGGAUUUCAGCGGGUAUAGGUUGGUUUGAAUUGCUUCAAUACUGACUUUUUUACCCGUGUGUUUUGCCAGAAUUUAACGGGUGAUCUUCGCCGAUUGUCUGUUAGAACUGACAGGGUUACUUUGAAAAAAUUAGAGUGCUCAAAGCAAGCUUGAUUGCUUGAAUAUUCGUGCAUGGAAUAAUAGAAUAGGAAGUCGUUUCUAUUUUGUUGGUUUUCGGAAAUCGACUUAAUGAUUAAUAGGGACAGUCGGGGGCAUUUGUAUUCAAACGACAGAGGUGAAAUUCUUGGACCGUUUGAAGACAAACUACUGCGAAAGCAUUUGCCAAGAAUGUUUUCAUUG
rnacentral:rRNA from 1 species